AGGGGACGCGCUGCCUGCCUGACACUUCAAUCAGCAGCCAGGACCGCAAGCGCCAGGAAACAGCAGAGUCAGCUGAGGCUACUUCCAGAGAUGAACCUGAUGCUUCAAGUCACCUUCCUGGGUCUCCUGUCCCUGCUGGUGCAGGGCUGGGUUCAGAACAGAUCCCUGCAGCGUGAGAGAUGGAGCCAGCUGGACCUGCCGCAGAACAGAGAGCUGUUCCUAAGUGCCCUGCAGAGCUACUUCAGCAGCAGAGGGAUCCAUGUCGAGAAGGCUGCGCCGGCCUUCGUGCUGUCCACGAGGGAUCGCAACCAGGGGGACCAGGAAGAACGAGAGCUGAUGGCCCCCGAUAGGGGGGUAGAUGACUAGGAAGAGCUGAUGGCAGGUGGAGUCUUGGCAAUACGAUCGCUUCUGCCUCUGAGUACUUCACAGUGAUGCACUGACUCUCCCCUGCUGCUGUGCUGCUGCACACUCACACGUGCACACGCGCACACACACGCGCAUGCACACACACACACACACAGGCACACACACACACACACGGGCACGCACGCACACACACACGGGCACGCACGCACACACACACGAGUGACCUUUUUAUAU